CGGGGGCGCUGCGGGGGGUGCGGGGGGCGCGGCGCGGGCGCGGGACGACGGCGCCGCCGCGCUCGCCCUGGCGCCGCCUGUCGACGCACACCACGCGCGCAGAUAUAAUGAUAUGGCGCCAAAACACUGGGAGGAAGGACUGCCUCGGUACCACGGGCCUACUGAGUACGAGCGACCACCACCAUACUACUAUCCCGGACCAAAUGAUAGACAGUAAACUAGCGCUCACCGAACUAGACGACGACGUACUGAAGUACUAAGUCCGGUCCCCACAUCCACGCAACGUAUGUACAACACAAGCUGACAAUCGAACCCCAUAGAUAUAGCCUCAUAGUAUUUUUCCAUGCCCUAGAUGUAUUGAAUCAUUCAAAUAAUUAUCGGUUACAAGGAUACUAAUAUGUCAUUAGCUUGCACCAAUUUUUACUCUAAAGAACUCUGUUUUCAUCAAUACUUUGAAAAGUAAUGAUACCUCGUCAAACUUGUAACGCAUUCCAUGAUGUGAUCUAUGUCAAUGAGCUUAGAGUUGAAAUUAGUGUAAUCAGUUUUAAACUUUUACCAAUCGGUAUUGCGUCUUUUGCAUUUGCAAAGAAAAAUCGAAGUCCAAUGUAAACGCGCAUCGAAAUAAAUAUUUUUCUAGGCUAAUUUUGACGUAUGCCAUCUCUGUAACUGUUUAGUAAAAAUAAUAAUUGUAAGUGAACGUUCUUGGACAGUUAAAGCGGUGGAUAAGUAUACGAAUACAUGAAAAAUUAUGCAGACUUUUCAAUUAUUAAGUGUCUUGUCUAAAAAGUUUUGCUAAAAUAAUGUUAUUCUCUUUGCAAAAGUUGUUUUAACCUGUCCAAGAGCGAAUGGUAAAAUAAUUUGGUACUCUAUAGUUCUAGUUGUAAUGUAGGCGCGUGCAGUGGGAUGUCAUGUUUGGGGAAGUUGAUUCCAAUAAAAACUGCCAUAUUUCGACUGUCCUGUAUUUAUACACUAUUAGCGGAUUUAUCUUUUUAAUAAGCGUGCCCUUUUGCAGACAGAUUUAUUUAAUCAAUUUGAGCUGAAUGAGUCUAAAAUUUUACGAUGUUAAAUUUUUCAAAGAAACGGGGUUAAAUUUUCCAGCUUUCAGUUUUUCUUUUGGAUGUAUGGUUACGUUAAGUUUUUACGGAUUGUAAUUUCACAGUAAAGGAACAUUUUGUAAAUGUUUUGCAGAAGAAUGUGUUUGCAAAAGGGCGCGUCUAGCUCAAGAGUAUAUUGUGUGAUGUUGAAGGCCCCCAGGGCCGUGUUGGCUUUAAGUUAGUUCGAAUGCUUUACAUGUUGUAUCUCGCGGCUCUCCGCACAAAUAUGACUUUCAGAGGUUCUUUACUUAGCGUUGGAAAUUUUUUCUCUAGGUUAUAUAAUAAUAGUGGGGUGCUUAUAAGAAACUAAAUUGUUUGGACUUUGUUGAUAGAUUGAGAAUGUUGUAUUUGAAGGUCGAGGUGCGUUUGAAAUUAGGGAUUUCUUAAUUGUAUUCUGUUUUACGAUGUAUGACAAUAUGGUAGGGCAAAUUGAUUGAAAUAUAAGUACUCAGAUUUUUUUUCUGCAGUUUUUAAAAUUAAUAUGUCAUUUUCAAGGUUUCUUAUAAGCGCUUACAAAUAUUAAAAAUUUUGUAGCCUUUUUUAAUAUCUUGCACUUUUUUGAGUGUGUUAAAAAGGGUAGUUUGAAGGACACGGAUCGGUAAAGAAUUUGUAAGUGAUGUUUAUUCUUUAUAUACUCUUCUCGAAUAAUAAAUAAUAUUAUUUUGGAAUUGAGAGUUAUUUCAAAGUUAUUCCCUUUUUGUUAAACUAAAUAUUAUUUCGAGUAAUUUCUAAAAUUAAAUAUUUUAACGUAUUUUAAACGCGAUUUAUUCGUUAUACUAUUAUCGCGACCGACGUUUCCACGCUCGCAGCAAAGUGAAAUAAUAGAAUGAAUAAACCGCGUUUAAAAUCCGUUAAAAUCUUAAAUUUCUAAUUUCGAAUAGUUAUAUAAAGAGUAAAAUGAUAUAAAUGUUGAUGAACAUCACGGUAUCGAGAUUAGAAACGCAUUUAUUAUUAGGAUUAGUAGGUAUAAUGCUAACUCUGUAAUGUAACGUAAUUAGUCGACUAAUUGUAAGCAGGGAUGCGAUAUGGACGCCAUGCCAAACUUUAUCAAUUUAUUCGUAUUGUAAGUUGAAAGAGUAAACGUUGGAAUAAUUUUCUGGUUAGUAUGGGCUGAGUAGCGAGAUUAGUUAAGUGUAGAACCCCCUUGUUCCCAGUUGGCAAAGUUCUUCCUAUAUGUCUUUCCAAAGACGAACUAGGCACUUGAAGACAAGCCCUUUUUGUUAGUUACUUGUAUUGAAAAUAGACUUGAAUUUAGUAAUAAAGUUUCCUUACGUGUGGACGCAUUUUACUCCCGACUCUAAUACUCGUAUGCGUCCACACUAAUUGGUUAGUGCUAUAUACUAGCCAUUUAUAUCCUAUUUAGUUAUUAUUAAACAAUUUAUAUUUUAUUUUAGGUUAUUUUCAAAUAGUUGACGCGUAUGUUCAAAUAAUUAAUGUGUCAUAUCUGUUAGUUAGGUUAUGUUGUGGGAUAUGCCAAAAAUGUUUAAAAUUUUAUUUUCGACUUUGUUUUUUGUGAUUUUGAAAAACUCCUAUGGACAAUUUUAUUUCAAUAUUUGUUGUUAUCACAUUGAAAUGUCAAUAAUUAACUGGAAUAUUGCUAAUUGAAAUGUAAUAGUGUCUUUAAGUUUUUAUGAUAUUGAAUUAAAAAUUUAUAUAGUGCGCUGUAGAUCUCUGUGUGGUUGUAUCGUAUUUCAAGCUCAGUUUAAAAGAAACUUCCAGAAAUUGUAUACUCUAUGUGAAUUUAACCACUGCUCAAUAAUUCUUCAUAAUAUGUUGGUGCUAUACGCAUCUGAGUAUGUAGUUAAUUUAGUUUGAAUUGUGAGCAAGAAAGCGGAAUGAGGAAAAAUAUGGAUGUUAAAUACAAUACGUUUUUAAUUAUCGGUUUUGUAAGAGCGUGUGUGUUGAACACAGUUGUCAGAAGUGAAACUUCUUUGGCAAGAUUCAAAGAUACCAAAAUCAUCGUCUUACCUGUGGUUUUACUCAUGGUAUUGCCAUGACGCGACCUUGAAAUCUUUCAACGCGCCUAAAGAAGUUUCACUUCAAAAAUGUAUGAAGACAUGUUUAGUAUGGAUGGAGGAGCUCUAGAUAUCGAUUGAAUUGUAAGGAAGAGUUAGUUAUUAUUUAGAACAAUCUCGAGGUGAUUAUAUAACGUUAUUGUUUACGGUACGUAGAUGUAACCAAAAAGUUUUGUAUGAACGUCCCGGAGGGCUGUGGUCCGCUAGGCCGGAGUGUAUUGAGAAUGUAAAAUAAAUUUGAUUAUCUCCAA